rnacentral:misc_RNA from 1 species
AGAAAAUCAAAAUAGGGUUUGGAAACCAGUUUCAAAUAAUUGUUGAUUUCACCGGAGAUAAUUGGGGAUUUUGCCGGAAUAAGCUAGUGUACCGGCGGUUACCUGAUUCCGGUUGCUUACGGUGAGGUGUUUUGCUUUGGUCUUCCAAGCUCCGACUGUCAAAAUGGAAGAGUUGAAGCACAAGUCGAAGAGAGAGGACGAGUCGAAGAAGCGGCACCGUGAUAAGGAGGAUCGAGAUCGAGAGAAGAGGGACAGAGAGCAUCAUCAUCGUGAUAAGAAGGAUCGAGAGAGAGAGAAAAGCAGUCGGUAUGAAAGGGAGAAAAGUGCUGAUAGAGAUAGAGAUAGAGAUAGAGCAAAGCACAAGGAUAGGCACAGUAGAGGAGAUAAGGAGCGUGAAAAGAGCAGCAAGGUUCGUGAUGAUGAUGAAAGACCUAGAGAUAAAGUUAAAGAGCGAGAAAAGGAUAAGGAAGACCGUGAAGAACGAGAGAGGGAGAAAGAGAGGGAAAGGGAGAAGGAGAGG